rnacentral:lncRNA from 1 species
CCACCAAAAAGCUCCGAUUCCGACCACUUUUCAGACGUUAUUUUUCGACGAUCAGCUGUAAAUUAGUCCACAAACAUCAUAAGCUUGUCCAUUGCAUCCAUUGUUACCCCAUUUGUUUCCUAUCUUCUCAAACACACUUUCCACCAUUGUUAAAAAGCUUUAAAUCACUCACAUUACUCAAAACCACUUUAGAAAGUGCAUUACAGCAG